GAUGAACGCUGGCGGCGUGCCUAAUACAUGCAAGUCGAGCGAACGGACGAGAAGCUUGCUUCUCUGAUGUUAGCGGCGGACGGGUGAGUAACACGUGGAUAACCUACCUAUAAGACUGGGAUAACUUCGGGAAACCGGAGCUAAUACCGGAUAAUAUUUUGAACCGCAUGGUUCAAAAGUGAAAGACGGUCUUGCUGUCACUUAUAGAUGGAUACGCGCUGCAUUAGCUAGUUGGUAAGGUAACGGCUUACCAAGGCAACGAUGCAUAGCCGACCUGAGAGGGUGAUCGGCCACACUGGAACUGAGACACGGCCCAGACUCCUACGGGAGGCAGCAGUAGGGAAUCUUCCGCAAUGGGCGAAAGCCUGACGGAGCAACGCCGCGUGAGUGAUGAAGGUCUUCGGAUCGUAAAACUCUGUUAUUAGGGAAGAACAUAUGUGUAAGUAACUGUGCACAUCUUGACGGUACCUAAUCAGAAAGCCACGGCUAACUACGUG
rnacentral:rRNA from 1 species